UCCUCCAACUUCUACUGCCCAGCUGCCAUGGGAAUCCAAGGCCUUGUUGUCUGAUGAUUGAUAGCAAAUGGAGAUGCUCUCUUACAGAGAACAACCAAAUGAAUGUCCUGUCUGGCUUGACUGGUGCAUCUCUCCAGAGCCCUGCUGUUCACAGACCUUUUGCAAUUCAGGAUGGUGGACUUGAAAGCAGCAAAGCAGUUCAGCAUAUGUUUCAAUUAAAAGUCAUGUGUGGUAGUUUAGUCUAGGCCUUUCUUGGUGACCAGUUUGUAACCAAGGAAGUGCCCAGAUUUACCCAGUAUUCCCUACGAUUUUUAUGUAAGCCAGGGUAUAAGAAGAAAGCAGGAAAGGCCUUCGUCUCUCUUUACUUCUGGCAGCUUUGGAGGUGUGAGUUUCCCUGCUGUUGAGUCUGCCGUGUUGGUGAGUGAGGCCUAGUAAGGCCUUGCCGACCUUGGGAGACAGAGGUUGCCGGCGAUCGUUCCAGCGCAACUUUCUGUUGUCCCAAGGAGAGUAAUGGCUGUUUAAGGUGUAAUGUGAUGUGCUAGCUGAACAGCACAGUCAACAUCAACGAGUUGCAGUCAUCUGAGCAUAGACUCUCAAAGCCCAAUAUCACACCACAUAAGGUGAUCCUGAGGAACAGAGGAAGAUGAGAGUGAUCUUUGAAAGGAUUUAGGUCUUCACCAGCACUGCUACAUUUCAGGAGGAAUUCCUCCCCUGCUCAAAACUGCUCCACAUACAACUCAGAUACUCAAGAUAUGCACUGAGGAAAGGUACAUUUUACAGAGAUGCACAGGAGGAAAAACAAAACCCCCAAGCUUCACACUAGAUCAAUGAAACGUCUUAAAACAACUGGAUCCCAGUUCUCCAGCUGAAUGUCACCAUGGUACCUGGCUGGUCAUCAAAUACAGAAAUUUCAGAAUGCAUAAUUUUUGUCCCUGUUCCUGCCCAGUGGAAAUUAGGGGAUUUCCCUAUUUUCAGACCACAUUUAGCUUGUGGGGUGUGAAUGAUGCUGGAGAGUUCAUCUGUAAGAGAGUGGCUGCUGUCUGGGAGCAGGAGAGCCCAGCUGCCAUGGAAACCAAGCCUUCAAAUGCCCUGAACUUGCAGCACCAGCCUUGGGAGAGGAUUCCAGUGGUGAAGCUCAAAGAAGGGAAUGCUGGAGGAGGUGUAAAGGUGGAGGAGUGGGAAGGUGUAAGGUUGACUGUGGCAGGAACAGGUCUGGGCUGUUCUGCCAAGGCACUGCACAAGGACCUUAAUCUGACAUACUGGAAACUUUAAAGAUCAGGUUUUUUCCUACAGAGAAAGUGUUGAGGUGAAGGGCUGCAAAUUGCAAGUUACAAGUUGAACACCAGAAGAAUCUUGGAAGGACAAAAGUUGUGGAAGCUACUGGGAAGGUGGAUUGAGAGAAAAAUACCAUUCACCUUUUGGGAACAACAGG